rnacentral:rRNA from 1 species
UCGAGCGACGCAUACCGGAGGGUAACCCACCGGUAUGACGGAGCGGCGAACGGGUGAGUAACACGUGAGUAACCUGCCCCACAGACCGGGAUAGCCCAAGGAAACCUGGAUUAAUACCGGAUAUUCUCUUCGAACCUCAUGGCUCGGGGAGGAAAUGCCUUUGUGCUGUGGGAUGGACUCGCGGCUUAUCAGCUAGUUGGUGGGGUAACGGCCUACCAAGGCAUCGACGAGUAGCUGGUCUGAGAGGACGAUCAGCCACACUGGGACUGAGACACGGCCCAGACUCCUACAGGAGGCAGCAGCAGGGAAUCUUGCGCAAUGGGCGAAAGCCUGACGCAGCAACGCCGCGUGUGGGAUGAAGGCCUUCGGGUUGUAAACCACUUUCAGGAGGGAAGAUAUUGACGGUACCUCCAAAAGAAGCCCCGGCCAACUACGUGCCAGCAGCCGCGGUAAUACGUAGGGGGCGAGCGUUAUCCGGAAUCAUUGGGCGUAAAGAGCUCGUAGGCGGUUCAGCAAGUCGGCUGUGAAAGUCCAAGGCUCAACCUUGGAAAUGCAGUCGAAACUGCUGUGACUAGAGUCUGGUAGAGGAGAAUGGAAUUCCCGGUGUAGCGGUGGAAUGCGCAGAUAUCGGGAGGAACACCAGUAGCGAAGGCGGUUCUCUGGGCCUCGACUGACGCUGAGGAGCGAAAGCGUGGGUAGCAAACAGGAUUAGAUACCCUGGUAGUCCAUGCCGUAAACGUUGGAUACUAGGUGUGGCGUCCCGAUCAACGGAUGCCAUGCCGAAGCUAACGCAUUAAGUAUCCCGCCUGGGGAGUACGGCCGCAAGGCUAAAACUCAAAGGAAUUGACGGGUCCCCGCACAAGCGGCGGAGCAUGCGGCUUAAUUCGAUGCAACCCGAAGAACCUUACCUGGGUUUGACAUCACGGGAAAAGCUGUGGAAACACAGUGUCCGUAAGGGCCCGUGACAGGUGGUGCAUGGCUGUCGUCAGCUCGUGUCGUGAGAUGUUGGGUUAAGUCCCGCAACGAGCGCAACCCUUGUCCUAUGUUGCCAGCACGUAAUGGUGGGGA